AAAUAUGCUGAAAUCAGUUCAGAUGAAGAUAAUGAUAGUGAUGAAGCUUUUGAAUAGCUGGCUUCUUCACUACACAGCUACCUCUCUACAACACUGUGAUCACCUGUCUUUGCACUAGACUUGCUAUACCUCGCCUGUCUUCCUACUGGUCCACUGAAAAAGUUCUUCUCUUUUAUCCCUAUCUUCCUUCUUCUGGAGCAAGAGAAUUGAGCCUAGCCAAGAGGGGUCAGCAACCUUGUUUGACUUAAACGGCAUUCAGUGGAAACAGACUAUGGGAGAUCUUCACUUGUGUGCCAACUGACUUAGUCAUAAUGACCAAAAGAAGUGGGAAGACCACCAGUGUUCUACUUUUUCCACCUAGUGUCCAUAGAUUGAGGUGUGACAAGCAAGGGCAGGAAGGACAGAUGCAUGCUGCCAUUUUUAAAUGUAUAUUGCUGAUGGAAGCCCUUCACCUCCUCCAAAGUUUUUAAUGUUAAUUUACUGAUUUUUUUUUAAUUGUGAGCUCUUGAGCUAUGAGCAGUAGACUAUGAAUACUGAACAAAUCUGAAAAAAGUUUUAAAAUUGAAAUAAAAUAUACAGCAAACUU
rnacentral:sRNA from 2 species